UCCGAGUUGACCCCGGCAGUCUCCUGCGAGUCCCCGCCAUUACGCGCUGGCAACACAGGACAAGGGUUGCGCUCGUUGCGGGACUUAACCCAACAUCUCACGACACGAGCUGACGACAGCCAUGCACCACCUGUAUACCGACCACAAGGGGGGCCGUAUCUCUACGGCUUUCCGGUAUAUGUCAAACCCAGGUAAGGUGGGGAUGACGUGUCAGGAGGGUG
rnacentral:misc_RNA from 1 species